AGUGAACGCUGGCGGUAGGCCUAACACAUGCAAGUCGAACGGCAGCACAGUAAGAGCUUGCUCUUACGGGUGGCGAGUGGCGGACGGGUGAGGAAUACAUCGGAAUCUACUUUUUCGUGGGGGAUAACGUAGGGAAACUUACGCUAAUACCGCAUACGACCUACGGGUGAAAGCAGGGGAUCUUCGGACCUUGCGCGAUUGAAUGAGCCGAUGUCGGAUUAGCUAGUUGGCGGGGUAAAGGCCCACCAAGGCGACGAUCCGUAGCUGGUCUGAGAGGAUGAUCAGCCACACUGGAACUGAGACACGGUCCAGACUGCUGCGGGAGGCAGCAGUGGGGAAUAUUGGACAAUGGGCGCAAGCCUGAUCCAGCCAUACCGCGUGGGUGAAGAAGGCCUUCGGGUUGUAAAGCCCUUUUGUUGGGAAAGAAAAGCAGCAGGUUAAUACCCCGCUGUUCUGACGGUACCCAAAGAAUAAGCACCGGCUAACUUCGUG
rnacentral:rRNA from 1 species